ACUCAAAUGAAUUGACGGGGGCCCGCACAAGCGGUGGAGCAUGUGGUUUAAUUCGACGCAACGCGAAGAACCUUACCAAGGCUUGACAUCCCUCUGACCGGGUCUUAGCCGACCCUUCUCUUCGGAGCAGAGGAGACAGGUGGUGCAUGGUUGUCGUCAGCUCGUGUCGUGAGAUGUUGGGUUAAGUCCCGCAACGAGCGCAACCCUUACUUCUAGUUGCCAUCAUUAAGUUGGGCACUCUAGAGGGACUGCCGGUGACAAACCGGAGGAAGGUGGGGAUGACGUCAAAUCAUCAUGCCCCUUAUGUCUUGGGCUACACACGUGCUACAAUGGGCAGUACAGAGGGCCGCGAGACCGCGAGGUUGAGCCAAUCCCUUAAAGCUGUUCUCAGUUCGGAUUGCAGGCUGCAACUCGCCUGCAUGAAGUCGGAAUCGCUAGUAAUCGCAGGUCAGCAUACUGCGGUGAAUACGUUCCCGGGCCUUGCACACACCGCCCGU
rnacentral:rRNA from 1 species